CAUUUCUUCCUGCCCAGAGGUUUCCUCCUCACCUUCCUCUUCCGCCAGUGUCACCAGGGCCUCAUACCUGUUCCCCAGCUGGACUGGGGAAGCU